rnacentral:rRNA from 1 species
CCAUGCGAGUCGACAUAGCAAUAUGUGGCAUACGGCUCAGUAACACGUAGUCAACAUGCCCAGGGGACGUGGAUAACCUCGGGAAACUGAGGAUAAACCGCGAUAGGUCAUCACUUCUGGAAUGGGUAAUGACUUAAACCUAUAUGGCCCCUGGAUUGGACUGCGGCCGAUCAGGCUGUUGGUGAGGUAAUGGCCCACCAAACCUGUAACCGGUACGGGCUCUGAGAGGAGGAGCCCGGAGAUGGGCACUGAGACAAGGGCCCAGGCCCUAUGGGGCGCAGCAGGCGCGAAACCUCUGCAAUAGGCGAAAGCUUGACAGGGUUACUCUGAGUGAUUUCCGUUAAGGAGAUCUUUUGGCACCUCUAAAAAUGGUGCAGAAUAAGGGGUGGGCAAGUCUGGUGUCAGCCGCCGCGGUAAUACCAGCACCCCGAGUGGUCGGGACGUUUAUUGGGCCUAAAGCAUCCGUAGCCGGUUCUACAAGUCUUCCGUUAAAUCCACCUGCUUAACAGAUGGGCUGCGGAAGAUACUAUAGAGCUAGGAGGCGGGAGAGGCAAGCGGUACUCGAUGGGUAGGGGUAAAAUCCGUUGAUCCAUUGAAGACCACCAGUGGCGAAGGCGGCUUGCCAGAACGCGCUCGACGGUGAGGGAUGAAAGCUGGGGGAGCAAACCGGAUUAGAUACCCGGGUAGUCCCAGCUGUAAACGAUGC